GACGAACGCUGGCGGCGUGCUUAACACAUGCAAGUCGAACGGAAAGGCCCACCUUUUGUUGGGUGCUCGAGUGGCGCGCGGGUGUGUAACACCGGAAUGACCUGCCCUUGGCUGUGGGAUAUCUUCAGGAAAAUGGGGAUAAUACCUAAUAGGAGCUCCUGCUGCAUGGUGGGGGUUGGAAAGUUGCGGCUGUGGGGGGUGGACUCGCGGCUUAUCAGCUUGUUGGGGGGGGAGUGGCUGAGCCAGCCUUCGACGGGUAGGCGGCCUGGGAGGGUGACCAGCCACAAUGGGACUGAGAGACGGCCCAGACGCCAACGUGAGGCAGCAGGGGCGAACAUUGCACAAUGGGCGCGAGCGUGAUGCAGAAACGCCGCGUGCGGGAUGACGGCCCUCGGGUGGAAAACCGCUUUCGCCUGAGACGAAGCGUGAGUGACGGUAAUGGAUAAAGAAGCACCGGCUAACUACGUG
rnacentral:rRNA from 1 species